rnacentral:rRNA from 1 species
GACGAACGCUGGCGGCGUGCUUAACACAUGCAAGUCGAACGGAAAGGCCCUGCUUUUGUGGGGUGCUCGAGUGGCGAACGGGAGAGUAACACGUGAGUAACCUGCCCUUGACUUUGGGAUAACUUCAGGAACCUGGGGCUAAUACCGGAUAGGAGCUCCUGCUCCAUGGGGGGGGUUGGAAAGUUUCGGCGGUUGGGGAUGGACGGGCGGCUUAUGAGCUUGUGGGUGGGGUAGUGGCUUACCACGGAUUUGACGGGUAGCCGGCCUGCGCGGGUGACCGGCCACAUUGGGGGUGAGGUGACGCGCAGAAGCCUACUGGAGGCAGCAGUGGGGAAUAUUGCACCACGGGCGGCAGCCUGAUGCAGCAGCGCCGCGGGCUGGAUGAGGGCCGUCGAGUUGUAGACCGCUUUCGUCUGUGAAGAAGAGAGAGUGACGGUAUCUGGUGAAGAAGCACCGGCUAACUACGUG